GAACGCUGGCGGCAGGCCUAACACAUGCAAGUCGAACGGUAACAGGAAGCAGCUUGCUGCUUCGCUGACGAGUGGCGGACGGGUGAGUAAUGUCUGGGAAACUGCCUGAUGGAGGGGGAUAACUACUGGAAACGGUAGCUAAUACCGCAUAAUGUCGCAAGACCAAAGAGGGGGACCUUCGGGCCUCUUGCCAUCGGAUGUGCCCAGGUGGGAUUAGCUUGUUGGUGGGGUAACGGCUCACCAAGGCGACGAUCCCUAGCUGGUCUGAGAGGAUGACCAGCCACACUGGAACUGAGACACGGUCCAGACUCCUACGGGAGGCAGCAGUGGGGAAUAUUGCACAAUGGGCGCAAGCCUGAUGCAGCCAUGCCGCGUGUAUGAAGAAGGCCUUCGGGUUGUAAAGUACUUUCAGCGGGGAGGAAGGGAGUAAAGUUAAUACCUUUGCUCAUUGACGUUACCCGCAGAAGAAGCACCGGCUAACUCCGUGCCAGCAGCCGCGGUAAUACGGAGGGUGCAAGCGUUAAUCGGAAUUACUGGGCGUAAAGCGCACGCAGGCGGUUUGUUAAGUCAGAUGUGAAAUCCCCGGGCUCAACCUGGGAACUGCAUCUGAUACUGGCAAGCUUGAGUCUCGUAGAGGGGGGUAGAAUUCCAGGUGUAGCGGUGAAAUGCGUAGAGAUCUGGAGGAAUACCGGUGGCGAAGGCGGCCCCCUGGACGAAGACUGACGCUCAGGUGCGAAAGCGUGGGGAGCAAACAGGAUUAGAUACCCUGGUAGUCCACGCCGUAAACGAUGUCGACUUGGAGGUUGUGCCCUUGAGGCGUGGCUUCCGGAGCUAACGCGUUAAGUCGACCGCCUGGGGAGUACGGCCGCAAGGUUAAAACUCAAAUGAAUUGACGGGGGCCCGCACAAGCGGUGGAGCAUGUGGUUUAAUUCGAUGCAACGCGAAGAACCUUACCUGGUCUUGACAUCCACGGAAGUUUUCAGAGAUGAGAAUGUGCCUUCGGGAACCGUGAGACAGGUGCUGCAUGGCUGUCGUCAGCUCGUGUUGUGAAAUGUUGGGUUAAGUCCCGCAACGAGCGCAACCCUUAUCCUUUGUUGCCAGCGGUCCGGCCGGGAACUCAAAGGAGACUGCCAGUGAUAAACUGGAGGAAGGUGGGGAUGACGUCAAGUCAUCAUGGCCCUUACGACCAGGGCUACACACGUGCUACAAUGGCGUAUACAAAGAGAAGCGACCUCGCGAGAGCAAGCGGAACUCAUAAAGUACGUCGUAGUCCGGAUUGGAGUCUGCAACUCGACUCCAUGAAGUCGGAAUCGCUAGUAAUCGUAGAUCAGAAUGCUACGGUGAAUACGUUCCCGGGCCUUGUACACACCGCCCGUCACACCAUGGGAGUGGGUUGCAAAAGAAGAAAGUAGCUUAACCUUCGGGAGGGCGCUUACCAC
rnacentral:rRNA from 1 species